GAGCACUUGUAAGGUUUUUCUCCAGUAUGAAUUCUCCUGUGUGUUUCCAGGUUUUGUGACUGAGUGAAACUCUUUUCACAGUGUGAGCACUUGUAAGGUUUUUCUCCAGUAUGGAUUCUCUCGUGUGCUUCCAGGUUUUGUGACUGAGUGAAACUCUUUUCACACUGUGAGCACUUGUAAGGUUUUUCUCCAGUAUGGAUUCUCUCGUGUGUUUUCAGUCGUUGUGACUGAGUGAAUCUCUUUUCACAGUGUGAGCACUUGUAAGGUUUUUCUCCAGUAUGGAUUCUCUCGUGUGUUUUCAGUUGUUGUGACAGAGUGAAACUCUUUUCACAGUGUGAGCACUUGUAAGGUUUUUCUCCAGUAUGGAUUCUCUCGUGUUUUUUCAGGUCUUGUGACAGAGUGAAACUUUUUCCGCAGUGUGAGCACUUGUAAGGUUUUUCUCCAGUAUGUAUUAUCUCGUGUCUUUUCAGUUGUUGUGACUGAGUGAAACUCUUUUCACAGUGUGAGCACUUGUAAGGUUUUUCUCCAGUAUGGAUUCUCUCAUGUUUUUUCAGCUCUUGUGACUGAGUGAAACUCUUUUCACAGUGUGAGCACUUGUAAGGUUUUUCUCCAGUAUGGAUCCUCUCGUGUUUUUUCAGGUCUUGUGACAGAGUGAAACUCUUUUCACAGUGUGAGCACUUGUAAGGUUUUUCUCCAGUAUGGAUUCUCUCAUGUGUUUUCAGUUGUUGUGACAGAGUGAAACUCUUUUCACAGUGUGAGCACUUGUAAGGUUUUUCUCCAGUAUGGAUUCUCUCAUGUUUUUUCAGCUCUUGUGACAGAGUGAAACUCUUUUCACAGUGUGAGCACUUGUAAGGUUUUUCUCCAGUAUGGAUUCUCUCAUGUUUUUUCAGCUCUUGUGACUGAGUGAAACUCUUUUCACAGUGUGAGCACUUGUAAGGUUUUUCUCCAGUAUGGAUCCUCUCGUGUUUUUUCAGGUCUUGUGACAGAGUGAAACUUUUUCCACAGUGUGAGCACUUGUAAGAUUUUUCUCCAGUAUGGAUUCUCUCGUGUUUUUUCAGGUCUUGUGACAAAGUGAAACUUUUUC